AGAGUCAAAAAAUAAAUUAUUAGCUUAAGUUCUUGGAAAAGGGCACCAUAGAGGGUGAUAGUCCCGUCUGCGAAAAUAAUUUAUCUCUUUUAU
rnacentral:rRNA from 1 species